CCUACGGGAGGCUGCAGUGGGGAAUAUUGGACAAUGGGCGAAAGCCUGAUCCAGCCAUGCCGCGUGUGUGAAGAAGGCCUUCGGGUUGUAAAGCACUUUCAGUGGGGAAGAAAGCCUUGGGGCUAAUACCCUCGAGGAAGGACAUCACCCACAGAAGAAGCACCGGCUAACUCCGUGCCAGCAGCCGCGGUAAUACGGAGGGUGCGAGCGUUAAUCGGAAUUACUGGGCGUAAAGCGCGCGUAGGCGGUCUGAUAAGCCGGUUGUGAAAGCCCCGGGCUCAACCUGGGAACGGCAUCCGGAACUGUCGGGCUAGAGUGCAGGAGAGGAAGGUAGAAUUCCCGGUGUAGCGGUGAAAUGCGUAGAGAUCGGGAGGAAUACCAGUGGCGAAGGCGGCCUUCUGGACUGACACUGACGCUGAGGUGCGAAAGCGUGGGUAGCAAACAGGAUUAGAUCCCCUGUAGUC
rnacentral:rRNA from 1 species